GAUGAACGCUGGCGGCGUGCCUAAUACAUGCAAGUCGAGCGAACGGACGAGAAGCUUGCUCCUCUGACGUUAGCGGCGGACGGGUGAGUAACACGUGGAUAACCUACCUAUAAGACUGGGAUAACUUCGGGAAACCGGAGCUAAUACCGGAUAAUAUAUUGAACCGCAUGAUUCAAAAGUGAAAGACGGUUUUGCUGUCACUUAUAGAUGGAUCCGCGCUGCAUUAGCUAGUUGGUAAGGUAACGGCUUACCAAGGCAACGAUGCAUAGCCGACCUGAGAGGGUGAUCGGCCACCCUGGAACUGAGACACGGUCCAGACUCCUACGGGAGGCAGCAGUAGGGAAUCUUCCGCAAUGGGCGAAAGCCUGACGGAGCAACGCCGCGUGAGUGAUGAAGGUCUUCGGAUCGUAAAACUCUGUUAUUAGGGAAGAACAAAUGUGUAAGUAACUGUGCACGUCUUGACGGUACCUAAUCAGAAAGCCACGGCUAACUACGUG
rnacentral:rRNA from 1 species